CAAACAUGGAUCCACACAAUAUUGUGGAGCGCGCCCAAGUAGACUCUGACAUGUGGUGUAGGAUUAUCUCUAAUACUGCACAGGGAGUCUGUUUACAAGCUGUAGUAAGACUUCACACUUCUGAGGGACUUUACGUGCUUCGAGUUUUCUGGUGGCGUCUGCCAGAGCCGCAAGACUUCCUCUGGCGCAACCAUGUGCCUUGAUUAACUUCGAGAAUGUAUCCAGUUCCACAAUCGACAUACCGGCACGGACGCACCCUGGACUGCACUCGCUGACCUGUGAUGCCGGCGUGUAUUCGCCAACUUCAUUAAUAUGAAAAGGUGGUCGAAGGGAGCAAAGGUGUGAAUGUGAGUGUGAACAGCUGUUCAUCUACAAACAGACGACCAGUCCAGAGUGUACUCCAACUGUUGCCCAAAGUCACCUAUGGAGAAACCACCGCAUACGUGACGUCACCGUUCUCAGUAGGUCGUCGGUCCUGUUUCCACGGGACACUGAGCCGUAUGUCUGAAUGCCAAUGGCCGGCGGGAGACCAACAGCGGCUUUCCAGGUGUCAGGUGCCCGAGCCCGUUGACCCAUCCGGGCAUCGCUGGUCUUCCUGUCCAAUCUACCUGUCGCUCCUGCCAAUGACAAGGCAGGCAGAAAUGGAUCCCCAAAACACAGCGGCGUACUCACAAUGGUAGCUGGAAUUCACAAGCGAGGAGAGGCUUAUCUCCGCCGAGCAGAUUCCAUUUCCCUUACGUGAGAGUUGACACAAACCUGUAUUCUGUUUUCUUGUGCUCAAUCUCAAUAAACGUAUAUUCGCUGACUUAACGGCCUUUCGCGGCAAACCGCGUGCAUGCAUCGGCUCAAAACUAUGUUAACGCGUACAACCCUACACCGAAGCAAUCUGCAAAAAAUCUAAAACGACUCUUUCCUGGCGCUCGAGCCUGUGAGAAAAUAUGAAACAAAUAAAUCUCCCGCUUGACACGUUUAUCGGAACCGGCCGCCUCGACUAAUACGUUAAGCCAUCUGAGUUAAAUGUCAGCAGAAAUUAAACGACAUAUUUUCUUAUCCGAGGUUCCCGUUGGGAGACAUUGACAAUUCCUUUCCGAAAGACCGAUGCAGUUUCAUUGUCACUGAAAAAGAGCAGCCUCCCUGGUAAGGUCUAUUCAGGGGUGCUGGAGAGGAGGGUCCGUCGGGAAGUCGAAUCUCAGAUUCAGGAGGAGCAGUGUGGUUUUCGUCCUGGCCGUGGAAUAGUGGACCAGCUCUACACCCUCGGCAGGGUCCUCGAGGGUGCAUGGGAGUUCGCCCAACCAGUCUACAUGUGUUUUGUGGACUUGGAGAAGGCGUUCGACCGUGUCCCUCGGGGAGUCCUGUGGAGAGUGCUUCGGGAGUAUGGGGUACCGAACCCCCUGAUACGGGCUGUUCGGUCCCUGUACGACCGGAGUCAGAGUUUGGUCCCCAUAUCCGGCAGUAAGUGGGACUCCUUCCCGGUGAGGGUUGGACUCCGCCAAGGCUGCCCUUUGUCGCCG